AAGGGGCCUGGCUGGGCACCAUGGCGGCAGGUGGGAAGGUCGGGCUCGAGGUGUGCGGAGAGGAGGCCGCGGAGGGGCAGCAGGGCUGUGCGUUCUGAUGCGCUCCCCUGCGGGGACCAGAGCCGGUGUUCGAGCUGCUGCUGUCUGGCGGCUCCGGCAGCUUCUUCCGCUUGUGCUUCCCUUUCCUGCAGCCGGCCGACCGCGUCUGCUUGGAAGUAGAAUCUCCUGGAAGGAUAAAGGUAGAGGCAAAUUAUGGAAAAUUAAACCCAAAAAGAAGAGAAGGAUGCCACUUACAGGUAGUUAUAAGUAGCUGACGAAUGAGCAUUUGCCAAUACUACCAGAAUGACAAAAAGUGGCUCUAAAAAGAUGAACAAAAUUCCGGAUAAAAAUAGUUGCUAUCAAAUAAACUUAUUUCAGCAUCUCUCGAUCAGUUUCUCACAAAAAAGUUUCUCAGAUCUAGGAUCUAACAAAGAACUUACAUAAACUGUUGAUGUAAAUAGAUUGUUUCAGCAUCUCUCCAUCAGUUUCUUACAAGUAAAACUCCUAUUGUUCACUCCUUAUCUCCUAGUCCUUAGAUACAGUUUGUAACAUUUACAUAGAUUAAUGGCAUUUAUUUUUAAAAAAUUACGUACCUUGAAAAUAUGAAUAUUUAGCUUUGCUCCUGCUUUCUUGCUGAAGAUAGGAGCUGUAGGGUGAUGACAGGAUCUUUUCUCGGAAUUUAUCAACAUAAUUCUGCUCUUCCUUCUGGGUGUGCGCUGACAGAACAGCCGCUGUGAGCCCCACGUGUUUAAAUUCUUCCGAGGUCAAAGGGGCUGGCUGCAUGUUCAGGGUCCAGGGCUCACAGAAGAGGGUAGCAUCCCUGGCUGAGGUGGAAGAAGACAUAUUUAAUUUUAAUUCCUAUCAAUUAUUUGUAUUUAUUUUACUUUGUUAACUGCCUUUUGAUACAUUUUUACAAACAUUAUUAUAACUGCUGGAAUACGAAAAAUCUUCAUUAGCCUAGCACAGAAAUUCUUCAUUUUCUGUCUUCCUUUAUAUUCUUUGCACAAAUGCACAUACAUUUUACAGUUGUGAUAAUCAAUAUGCACACAUUUAUUUAAAUCUUGCUUUUAUUGUAAACAUUUUUCUCUCUCCCUGAAUUCUUCAAAAUUUCUUUUUAUCUUUGAACUUACCUUUUAAAUAGGUAAUAUAUUCAUGUGGUUCAAAAAUCAGGAAGUAUUAAUAAAGACAUGUAGUAAAUUCCCCUCACCCCCGUCCACGCUCUGUCUAGUUCUCAUUUGUUUCCCCUGCAGAAGACCAUUCCGCUGGAGUGAAGUGGCGCCGUCAUGGCUCACUGCAACCUCCGCCUCCCAGGUUCAAGCGAUUCUGCCUUAGCCUCCCAAGUAGCUGGGACUAUAAGCGUGUGCCACACCACGCCUGGCUAAAUUUUGUAUUUGUUCAUUUUUUUUUUUUUUGAGAUGGAGUUUCGCUCUUGUUGCCCAGGCUAGAGUGCAAUGGCGUGAUCUUGGCUCACUGCAACCUCUGCUUCCUGAGUUCAAGUGAUUCUCCUGCUUCAGCCUCCCAAGUAGCUGGAAUUACAGGCAUGUGCCACCACACUGGGCUAAUUUUGUAUUUUUAGUAGAGACAGGGUUUCACCGUGUUGGCCAGGCUGGUCUCAAACUCUUGACCUCAGGUGAUCCAUCUGCCUUGGACUCCCAAAGCGCUGGGAUUAUAGGCAUGAGCCACCGUACCUGGCCCUUCCAGUUUAUUACAUAUGAACGAGGAUGAAUAUAGAUUAUCUUCCUCUCUGACCCCAUCUUUACCCAAAGGCACAUACGUACAUUAACCAUCAACACACCUUUUUCACUUUACCAUAUCCCUUGGAGAACUUUAUCAGUGGCUAGACAGUUGUCUCAUACUUCUACACUGCUGCGGAGUUCCAUUUUAUAUGCAUAGCACAGUUUACUAAAGUGAACACCUGUGGAUGGAUUUUGGGUUGCCUCUUUUUUAUCUAUUAUUGAUAUAUAAUAGUUGUACAUUAAAAUUUCUUUUAUUGAUAUAGAAUAGUUGUAUCUAUUUUGGGGUUGCUUCUAAAAAAAUUACUUCUAACAACAAAAGAUUUUGUGGUGGACACUGUAGAGGGCUCCCCCAAUAUCCAUUCCAGCUCGCCCCUGUGGUGCAGCAUCCGGGUGGUUUGGGUAGGUUUGGCCCACUCUGCAUCCAGAAGUGGCCUGUGACUAAAUGAGCACCACAGGGGGCUUUGCUUCUGGCCAAGUUGUAGUAACAGGGACCAAACUUACCUUCCUGAGAUUAAAAAAAAAAAAGCCAAAAUAUAUAAAAUAAUAGGUUUCAGACACUGAAGGAAAGUGACCCCCGAGGAUAAGAAACAAGGGAGGUGAGCCCGAGGACUGCCCCAGCGUGCAGCCUGGAGGGCUUCCAAGGACUCACCAGGGCAUUCAUGGGAGGAAAAAACCACCUGAGAGGAUUAGCAGGAACAAGAGCUGAAGCUCACGCAAGCUGCGGAAUAGUGCCGGUUCCCAUCCGCCAGACUAGAGACUCUCCUAACUCCUGAGGCAUCACAAGGAGCACUCAGGAAGGUCUCGCCUUUGUAGCAGAGGAAAAACAGGCCUAGACUACACACUAUUUGUCCUGCCUAGCAAAUUUAAAAAGCAAAGCCUGAAAGGAUCAAUCUGUUUACAGGUAACUUCACUGGGACCCAGAAUAAAGAUCAAGAAUAUUUAUAGGAAUACAAAUAUAUUUGGUACCCAUUCACAGUAUCUGGCAUCCAAUUAGAAAGAAUCACCAGGCAUGCAAAGAAGCAGGAAAAUACAACCCCAUAAUAAGGAAAAAAGGCACCGAGAAACUGAGUCUACAGUUUAUAUAGACAAAAGACCUAACAGUCAAAGCAAUCUUGAAAAAGAAUAAAGCUGAAGGAUUUAAACUACCUGAUUUCAAGACUUACUGUACAGCUACAUGAACCAAGACCACUCUGUACUGGUAUAAGGAGUUUAUCAAUUUUGUUCAUCUUUUCAAAAAACCAACUUUUAGCUUUAAUUUUCUCUAUUGUCUGUUUUCUAUUUUGUCGAUUUUUGCUUUUGUCUUUAUUAUUUCCUUCAUUCUAUCUUGGACUUAUUUCACUUCUUUUGCUGACUUUUUAAAACUGUAACUUUAGAUCAUUGAUUUGAGACAUUUCUUCUCUAACGGCAUUUUUAAAGCUAUUUAUCUUCUUACAAGCCCCGUUUUUAGCUGUAUCCCAUACAUUUUAGUAUGCUAUACUUUCAGUAUCGAUUUGGAAAUGUUUUCUAAUUCUCUUUGUGAUUUCUUUUUUGAAUCAUAGAUUUAGAAAUGUGUUGUCUGAUUUAUAAACAUUUGGGUUGAAAUAUCUUAUUACUGAUUUUUAAUUUAAUUCACUAGCCAGAGAACACAGUUCACACACCAUCAAUCCUUUUUAAAUCUGAGACAUAGUACAGCCCAACAUGUCGUAUUUCUCAGUGAACAUACUGUGUGUACUUGAAAAGGUUGUGGAUUAUACAGUUACUGGGUCUCACGUUCUCUAAGUGUCAAUUAGAUCAAGGUGGCUGAUAGUGUUGUAUGGAUCAUCUGUUUCUUAUUUUUUCUCUAUGUUUUUAUCAGUUGCAGAGAGGGAGUGUACAAUUUUCCAAAUAUAAUUAUGGAAAGUCUAUUUCCUUAUUUUUGCUUCAUAGCUUUUUUUUUUUUGAGAUGGAGUUUUGCUCUUGUUGCCCAGGCUGAAGUGUGGAGUGCAAUGGCGCAAUCUUGGCUCACUGCAACCUCCACCUCCCAGGUUCAAGCGAUUCUCCUGCCUCAGCCUCCUGAGUAGCUGGGAUUACAGGCAUGCAUCACCAUGCCCAGCUAAUUUUGUAUUUUUAGUAAAGAUGGGGUUUCUCCGUGUUGGUCAGGCUGGUCUCAAACUCCUGACCUCAGGUGAUCCGCCCGCCUUGGCCUCCCAAAGUGCUGGGAUUACAGGCGUGAACCACCACGCCCGGCUGCUUCAUAGCUUUCAAAGCUGUUAUUAAUGAAUAUACAUUUAUGACUGUUAUGUCUUCCUGAUGAAUUGACCACCUUGUCAUUAUGAAAAGAUGUCCUGGAAUCUAUUUUACAUAUAUUAAUAAGGCACUGCAGCCUUCUGAUGCUUACGGUUUCACUUGUGCAUCUUUUUCCAUUCAUUUACUUUCAAUCCAUUUGUGAAUUUCACUUGUACUUUGCAUAUAGUUAGGUCUUGAUUUUUAAAAAUCUGUUUUGAGAAUUUUUGCCUUUCAUGUAUUUACUUAUUUUUAGAGACAGGGUCUUGCUCUGUCCCUCAGCUGGAGUACAGUAAUGUGAUCAGAACUCACUGUAGCAACGAACCCAAGAUGAGCUCAAGCUAGGCUCAAUUGAUCCUCCUGUCUCAGCCUCCCAAGUAGCUGGGACUACAGGUGUGGGUCACCACACUUGGCUAAUUUAAACAUUUUUUGUAGAGAUGGGGUUUCACUGUAUUGCCCAGGCUGGUCUCAAACUCCUGGCCUCAAGCAAUCUUACCUCCUUGGCCUCCUGAGUCCCUGGGGUUACAGUUGUGAACCACUAUGCUUGGCCCAAUUUUUGCCUUUUAAUUGAAGUGUUGAGUCAAUUUUAUGUCAUUAUUGACAUAGCUGCAUGCAGAGCUAUUAUCUUAUUUGGUUUGUUCUCUCUGCUUCUUUUUUGUUAAUCUAUUCCUCCUUUCCUGCUCUUCUUUGGGAUUGAGUUUAUUUUAAAUUUGCAUUUUAUUGAUUGGCUUAGUCAUUGUAUCUCAUAUUCCAUCUUUUAAAAAAUUAUUUUAGGGCUGGACGCUGUGGCUCACGCCUGUAAUCCCAGCACUUUGGGAGGCCAAGGUGGGCGGAUCACCUGAGGUCCGGAGUUCGAGACCAGCCUGGCCAACAUGGUGAUAUCAUCUCUACUAAAAAUACAAAAAUUAGCUGGGCAUGGUGGCGGGGCCUGUAAUCCCAGCUAUUUGGGAGGCUGAAGCAGGAGAAUCGCUUGAAUCCGGGAGGUGGAGGCUGUAGUGAGCUGAGAUCGCACCACUGCACACCAGCCUGGGUGACAGAGCAAGACUCCUUCUCAAAAAAAAAAAAAAAUUUUUUUUUAAAUUUUUUGUAGACAGAGUCUCACCAUGUUGCCCAAGCUGGUCUCAAACUCCUGCAUUCAAACAAUCCUCCUGUCUUGGCCUCCCAAAAUGCUGGGGUUAUAGGCAUGAGCCACUGUGCCUGGCCUACAUUCCAUCUUAAUUAGACCCUGCUUUAGGUUCAAAGUAUCUGUAAUGGCAACGACUCCUAGAGACUAAUGGUCAAUACUUGAUUCCCUACUCUACUACUCAUGGGCUGUGUCAUAUUGGGCAAGUGAAGUUACUGUGCCUAAUUUGUGGUUUAAUUGUUCCACACAUAAAAUGAAGACAUUAACUUGCAAGGAAAUGCAUUUGUGACCAUCGUCCUUAGACACAACUCAUCUGAGUCAGGAUGCAAACUGAGCUAAUGAAUAUGAGCUUUUCAGAAAGCAAAAGACAUAGAGAUAUGUUUUAAGGAAUAUCUGGGCUCUGAUUCUGCUUUUUCUCCAUGGAAUAAAGAUGUGGCCCUGUAAAUGUUGAGGCUGAUUUAAGAUCAGAAGAAACUAAUAGCAGUAAAAAUUUCCUAAAGCAUAUAGACUUUAGUAUAAAUUCAUUAAAAACGGUCAUAUAAGAGCAGAGUAUAGAAAGCAGAGUGGCAGAAUAUAAAAAAAAGAGCUUUUCAUAUUGGGUGAUACCCUCCCUUCCUGUAUGGGCUGUAUUAUGAACAGCUACAUGCCCACACAGGAAUGCAAAAUAUUAAAAGGCACACUAAAAAAUGUGCAUAUGCUCCUCUGUGGAGGGGCUAGCUCAGUUCCAGUGAAACUCUACUUUUGACUAAUUAGAAACGUAAUGCUCUCUGAUCUUUCUCCACCAAUCCACAGAUCUCCUGUCAGUACCACACUCUCCAUCUCACAGGUUGUUGGAAAGAUUUAAUGAGAUCAUACCAGUGAAGAACUAAGAGCAGACAGUGGCACACAGAAAUGGCUUAACACGUAUUAGCUGAUAAGCCACUGAAGACUAGCAAAGAUAAAGCAGAGAUCAUGUGAAAACCCAAUUUAACGUAUUUGUCACCAUUCCUUCAUCUACCCAAAUUGUUAUGAGUGAUGAAAAUGUCAAAAGGACAAGUGGCAAUAAAGAGGAAUAAGAAGACAGUAGAAUAAUUUACCAAGAAAUUAUGGUAUUAAAUGAAGAGUUUUAAAGUACUCUAUUCAUUGCCAUCACAGCAAUACAAAAAUCUGAAGGUAUGUGUGACUGAGCUCAUCACAAUACAGGAUGGUGAAAUGCAGGUGAAAGGAACACAUUCUGUGAAAGUCAGCAAGGAAGUAACCUAACACAGUGCCAUCAAUAAUUGCAUUAAUAAUGGCUAACACUAAUUGAGGGCUAAUACCUACCUACUAGGUACUGUAUUAAGUGCUUUAUAUGUGUCAACUGAUUUCAUUGACAAAUAACAUAACUGAGAAAUACUGUCCAAAAUAUGUAACCAACAUAAACAUGAUAAUGUUUCCAGAAAUACUUUAACUGAACUAAAGAAAGGAAAAAAUAUGUGUAGUUUAGAAGUUACAACCGAGCGAAUGGUAUUCAUGACUUUUGUUUUCUCAUCACAAUGUAGUUAAAGUUGAGUAUAUUUUCAAAGUAAGAGGCGAGUGUGGUACCUGUCUCUGGGGGUGGGACAUGGACAAUGGUGCUGCUGUAACCGCAUUGGCUUAUGCCCGACCCCAAGCUCAGCAUCGCCGUGGACAGGAUCUGUGGAGCUCCUCCUCCUGUGUCUAUGGACCGUCCAUUUGUUGGCAUUUCUGAUUUAGGUAUGGCUGGGAUUUGCAAACCAGCUGGUGGUGUAAGAGAAACUGACAGUGAAAAGAAAAAUUCCCAACGAGAAAUUUACAUAAAAGACCCAGUUUACAGAAGUUUGUAACUGAGAAAUUAAACCUUACUGUCAUAAAGAGGUAAUAUGAAACCAGAAUUUUAUGCUUAUAACAAUAUAAGACAUUAAAGAGAAACAAGAAGGAUGUAUUUACAGUUCUUUGAAUUUAACUCUGAGGGGCAUUCUUGUUACCUUGUAAGGCUUGGACAUCAUCUGCCUUGUGGUUCUGUUUGUCUUCUUCUGAGGAGGAAGAAGUUGUAUUUGUACAGGAGAUACACUUUCUUUUCAAAGCUGGAAUGUUGUAGCUCUUCAGGUAUCUGUAACAACAUAAUUAGGCCACACAUUCUUACCUGUUCCCUAAUUGUGCCAUUUCCCACCUCUUUGCUUUUCUCAUGCCACUUAUGUUUGGCAUACUUUGUACUUUCUUCUUUGAUAAAGUCUUCCCUGACCAUCCCAGCCUCAAUCACUGGAUUGUAACAUUUCUUUUACUGUGGUCUUGAAUUAACCUUCAAAUCUUAUACCAUGGGUGUCCAAUCUUUUGGCUUCCCUGGGCCACACUGGAAGAAGAAUAAUUGUCUUAGGCCACACAUAAAAUACACUAAUACUAAUCAUAACUGACGAACUAAAAAAAAAAAAAAAUCACACAAAAAAAUCUCAUAACGUUUUAAGAAAGUUUACAUACUUGUGUUGGGCUGCACUCAAAGCUGUCCUGUGCCACAUGCAGCCUGUGGGCCAUGGGUUGGAGAAGCUUGCCUUACACCAUUUAAUUUUGACAAAAUUAGGUCUUGUCUUCUGAACUAUACCACAGUUCCUUCAAAGAAGGAAUGCAUCUUCUAGCUUUUUGUGCCUUCUGAAAUGUUCAGCGUAUGUGUUAGGCACGCCAUAAACGUCUACUGAUUUAUAGUGAAAAACCAAGUCAGAGCAGCUAUUAAAAAUUCUAUGAAGUCUCUACAGUGGCAGUGUAUGCUUCCGGAACAGACUUACAUGGUAUCCAAACUUGCGGUCUCAUACCUGAUGACACUGUCGAUACAGUUGAUCUGUUGAUAGGAUGGGCUGUGCUCAUCGUUCCUCAAAUCCUCACAGGGCUCAGUGUACACACUAUUGUUUUUCAGUGUUUGGUGGAAGGAAGUAAAGGUCUUACAUUCACCUGAAACAGAAUAAAGGGAUGUGCAAUUAAAAGUACCCAGCAUGUAAUUAAGAACAUAUACUUUCUUACCAAAAUUAAAUCAUGGCACUUUAUCAUGUAUAUAUCAACAGAAUAUCAUGCGGCUAUUAAAAAUGAGUGCAGAUCUAAAAUGCACUAAUAGAAAGAUAUCCACAACACGUAAUGAAUAAAAUAAGGUGCAGAGCACAUUACACAUAGAAUGGCUACGAUUGUAUUUAGAAAAAUAAGGAAUGAAACAAAAAUUUCCAACAAAGAUUAUCAAGGAAUGAAACCAUAGGUUUAAGGUUGAUGGGGAGCUUUCCAAUGUUAAGCUGACGCUUCCUGUACAACUGAUCAACCCUGGCAAUCACUAAGGGUGGAAUGUGGGAAGACCUGUGCAUCUUACGUGAUGCUGUGUGAAGUACACAGCAUCUCCCAGGUGGAGCCUGUGUCCAACAGAACUUUCUGUGAUGACUGAUGGAUUAUUUGUGCUGACUAGUAUUAUAUGUGCUAACGUAACUAUUAAACACUUGGAAUAUGGCUAAAGCAACUGAGAAACUAAAUGUUAAUUGUAUUACAUUUAAUUGUAUUGAAUUUGAAUUUAAAUUGCCACAUGUGGCAAGUGGCCACCAUUGUAGAUGUAGUAGUUUAGAGAGAAGAAAAAACCUCCAGGCUUAAGCACUAAAAACUUCCUAUAAAGGACAAUGAGCCAAUAAAGGAGACUGAAAAAGGGUAGCUGGAAAGAUAACAGAAAAUCCUGCAAGGUUUGGCCUCACAGCGACCAAGAAUGAAAACUUUCUUAAGGAAGGAGUAACUAAUUAUGUCAUGUACUACUGAGAAGUUUUGUAGAAGUGUUAGAUGCUGGUCAUUUUUAGCUGGCUUGGAAGAGGCUUCUCUAUUUUCAGAGCAUAUUAUGGAAAAAUGACUGUAUUACCUUUCACUCAUUAAUGAUUUUUAACUUUUAAUUUUGAAAUAAUUUUAGACUUGAAGAGUUGCAAAAAUAGUACAAUAGAGUUCCUAUAUGCCCAUCACCCAGCUUCCACUAAUGUUACCAUGGUCUACAACCAUAAUAAAAUGACCCCAACUAGGAAAUGAACAGUGGUACCAUUCUACUAACUGGAAAACAGACCUUCUUUGGAUUUUAUCAGUUUACCACUCAAUGUUGUUUUCCGUUCAGGGUCAGAACUUUAGUGGGAUGGCCUUCGAUUUGAGUUUCUCUGAUGUCUUCUCAUGAUUAGAUUGAGGUUAUGCAUUUGGGGAGAGAAUGCGGCGGAGGUGCAGUGUCCUUCCUUGUGCAUCAUCCCAGGGUACAUGAUGUCAGUAUGUUUUGUUACCUUGUUCAUUGGUUAACAUGGUGUCUCUCAGGUUUGUUUGUCCUGUGUAAAGUUACUAUUUUACAAUGUAAUAAAUAAUAUGUUUUGGAGGAAUACUUUGAGAUCACGCAAGUAUUCUGUUUCUUUUAAACUUCUCAAAGUUUAAGUUCUCCAUUAACCUUUCACCUCUAUUUCAUUCCUUGAUAAUCUUUGCCUGAACCAUCUGUUUUAUUCUUUAUUUGGUAUAAUAUACUAACCCGUGUCUAUCCAUCCCUCUGUAUAUUAAACAAAAGGGGCAUGAGUCCACACUGAAACUGUUCGCGCCAAUCCAGCACCAUGGAGUUCCUUCCCUUCUGCUUUGUGUGGCUUUCCUGAUAGUGAGGAGUCUGGUCAUCGUUAUCUAUAGCGGCUUCCACAAUUUGUUCAACCCUAGUAUAAAGUCGCUUUAGAAUUGCUAACCCAUACUCUGGUGGGAAACGAAUACACCAACUUGCGUACAGUGUUUGUGCACAUUCAUAAUUUUGUAUUUAGCCCUAGGAGAUACAGUUGAAGCACUGUUUUCCAAAGCUACUGAGCUCCGUUCUUCCCCACCCCUUCCGUGUGUUUAGGCCUGUCAUCUGUAAUGCAGUUGGACUCAGUUGUCAAUGCCUGCAUCUCAUCUUGGGUUCUCUCUGCAUUUUGGGGUGAGAUGGAGUGCACAAAUCUGUGGGUUUUGGCAAAUGCACGGAAAGUUGUGUAUCCAUCACCACAGUAACCAAAAGAACAUUUCCAUGACUUAAAAAUGUCCUUACAGCUGUCCCUCUGUAGUCACCUCCUUCUCUACCCAAUCAUAGUAAAUACUGAUCUGUUUUCCAGAGCUAGAGCAUUCCAGAAAGAACGCUUUUCCAGAAUGGAAUUGUACAAUAUGUAACCUUUUGGUUCUGCCUUCUUUCACUUAAUGAAAUGUAUUUAAGAUUUAUAUAUACAAUGGUCUGUGAAUCAAGUUCAUUUCUCUUCACCGUUAAGUAGCAUUUCACUGUGUGGAUACACAUAGCUUAUCCAUUCUCCUGCUGAAUGACAUUUGGGUUGUUUCUGUGUUUGGAGAGUAACAGUGUAAUAAAUAUUCAUGUACAGGUUUUUGCGUGAACUUAAGUUUCUAUUUCAGUUGGGUAAAUCACUAGGAAUAGAAUUGCUAAGUUACAUGGUAAGAGUAUGUCUAACUUUAUGGGAAAUGUCAAACUUUCCCAAAGUGGCUGUACAAUUUGGCAUUACCUCCAACAAUAGGUGAGUGCUCUGGUCACUCUGUGUCCUUGUCAACACUUGUCAGUUUUUUAAAAAAACUUAGCCAUUCUCACAGAUGUGUGGUGUUAUCUCAUAUGGUUUACAUUUUUUUUGUCUAAUGACUUAGGUUCAGCAUCUUUUCAUAUGCUAUUUACUGUUUAUGUAUCUUCUUUGGAAAAAUGUUUCUAAUUGGGUUGUCUUCUUGAGUUUUGAGCGUUCUUUAUGUACACUGGAUAUAACUUCAUUAUUGUAUAUAUCAUUUGCAACUAUUUUGUCUUUUCAUUUGUCUUAUCAGUGCCUUUCAGAUAAGAUUGGGUACGUUCAGGGUGGUAUGGCCAUAGUUAUCAGUCUCUUUCAAAAAGGAGAAGUUUUAAAUUUUGAUAAAGUCCAACCUGUCCUUCCUUUCUUUUCUUUUGUUCAGUAUGGCUAAAGACUUAUUAAUUUUAUUACCCUUUGAUUUAACUUAGUUUCUCUUCAAUUCCAUUGAUAUCUGGUCUUUAUUAUUUCCUUCUUAUUGCUUACUUGUGAAACAAUUUGUUCUUUUUUCUCUUAUUUUUAAGGAGGAAGCUUAGAUUACUGAGUCGAGACCAUUCUUCUUUUUUCCAUAUAAACACUCAGUGCUGUAAAUUUCCCUUUAAGCAGUGUUUUAGGUAUAUCCCACAUAUUUUAUGUUCUCUUUUCAUUUUGUUCAAUUCAAUUUUUUUUUUUUUUUUUUUUUUUUUUGAGACGGAGUCCGCUCUGUCGCCCAGGCUGGAGUGCAGUGGUGGGAUCUUGGCUCACUGCAAGUUCCACCUCCUGGGUUCACGCAAUUCUCCUGCCUCAGCCUCCUGAGUAGCUGGGACUGCAGGUGUGUGCCACUAUGCCUGGCUAAUUUUUUUUUUUUUUGUAUUUUUAGUCGAGACAGAGUUUCACCGUGUUAGCCAGGAUGGUCUCGAUCUCCUUAUCUUGUGAUCUGCCCACCUCGGCCCCCUAAAGUGCUGGGAUUACAGGCGUGAGCCACUGCGCCCGGCCCAAAAUGUUUUUAUUUCCCUUGAAACUUCCUCUCUGACCUGUGGAUUAUUUGUAAGUAUGAAGUUAUUUAAUUUCUGAACAUUUGAGGAUUUUCUGGAUACCUCUGUUACUGAUUUCUAGUUUAAUCCAUUAUGGCUAGAGAAUAAACAGCUCUGAUAUUAGAUACAUAAACAUGUAAGACUGUUCUAUGUUCCUAAGGAAUCAACUCCUUUAUCUGUUACACAGUCUCUCUUUCUAACUCUACUAACAUUCCUUGUUCUGAAGUUUACUUUGUGUAAUAAUACAGCUUCCCGCUUUCUUCUGUGUUAGCAUGGUAUAUCUUUUCUACUCUUUUGCUUUUAACCUAUGUUUAUUUUCACAAUGGGUUCUUGUAGAUAGUAUGUAGCUGGAUCUUUUCAUCCAAUUUGACGAUUUCAGUCUUGUAAAUUAGUGUACGGAGAUUAUUAAUAUUGAAUAUGAAUAACUGGAUUGAAUAUGAUUCAUAUAUUCAGUACAUUAGUGAUUGCUGAUGUUGCUGGAUUAAAAUAUGCCAGCCACUAGCUGUUUUCUGUUUGUUCCAUUUGCUAUUUAAGUGUAUUUUUAGAGAUGAAGUAUGGCUACGUUGCCCAGGCUGGACUCGAACUCCUGGGCUCAAGUGAUCCUCUCACCUCAGUGUUCUUAGUAGCUGGCACAUAACACCACUCCCGGCUUCAGUCCAUUUGGUUUCUGACCACCAUUUUGGGUUAAGUGUCUUAAAUUCCAUUUUACCUCCUCUAUUAACUUAUUAUUUAUACUUAAAAAAUAUUUUCGAAUUGUUUUCCUAAAGUUUCCAAUAUAUAUUCUUGAGUACUCAGUGUCUACCUCCAAAUAAUAAAAUACUGUUUCAAAUACAGUAUAAGGAACUAAUAGUAUAUUCCCAAUAACUUCCUCCCACCCUCUGUAGUAUUGUUGUCACAAAGAUUACUUUUAUAUAUGCUAUAAAUCCAGUUUGCUGGUUUUGCUUUAGUCCAUUAUCUUUAUGAUUAAUUUUAAAAAUUAAAAAAUAGAAUUUAUUUUAUCUUCAUUUAUUCCCUUUCCAGUGCUUUUCACUUCUUUGUGUAGAUCCAAGUUUUUGGUCUGGUAUCAUACUCUUUCUAAGAAAUUCCUUUAGCAUUUCUUGUGGAGUAAGUGUGCUGGAAAUAAAUUCCCAUGAUUUUUGAGAAAAUCUUUAUAUCACCUUUAUUUUCUUACAUAUCGUUUUCACUAGGUAUAGAAUUCUGUGCUGACAGUUUUUCUGGUUGAGGAUGCUACUCUAUUGUCUUUUUAGUGUGCAUGGUUUCUGAAGAAAUGUCUGUUACAAUUCUUGUCUUUGUUUCUCUGUAUGUAAUCUGUCUUUUUUCUCUGCUUUCAAGAUUUUCUUUUUUCCAUCAGUUUGAAUAUGAUAUGCCCAAGUGUUUUGUUUUGUUUUUGUUCUGUAUUUAACUUACUUGAUGGUCUUUGGCUCAGUAGAAAAUUCCUGACUGUUAUUUCUUCAACUAUUUCUUCUGAGAUUCCAAUUACACCUAUGUUGGACAGUUUGAGGCUGUCUCCAAAUUCUUAGAAUGCUCUAUUCUGUUUGCUUCAUUCUUCUUUCUCUGUUUCAGCUUGAAUAAUGAUUCUUUUCCAGGCUGUGUUGAGUGCUAUCAAAUGCGUUCCUCAUCUCUGGCAUUGAUGUUACAGAUGUUACAUUUCCAUUUGAGGGUUUCUUUCAUGCCCAUCUCUACGCUGUGAUUACCCACCCGGUCCUGCAUGGUGCCCACUUUGUCCACUAGCCUUUAAUACAUCAUUCAUAAUUAUUUUACUUUCCCUGUCAGAUAGUUCCAACUUCUGUGUCCUCUCUGAGUCUUGUUCUGAUGAUGGUUUUGUCUCUUGGGAGGUUUCUUUUUUCCCUUCUUGCCCAUCAUAUGCUACAUAAUUUCUUGUUGAGAACUGUGUAACUUGUGUAGGACACAGAGACUGGGCAUGCCUUUCCUUCUUUUAGACCUCUGAAUUAAUCUAUUUUUUAGGCCAGGUUUGAGUAUUGUAAUGGUUCUACAGCAUGUACAACAGCUUUCAAAUUCCUCUAGUUAUACUUCUUGCCUCAGCUGGUGGCUGGUUUGGUGGGUAAUUUUUUUGUUUUUUCUCAGUAUCUGCUCCACUUUCAGCUUUUGGUCUUUCCUUGGCAUUGUGCCUUCGAGAGGGUCUGUCUUUUGCAAGUUACUUGACUCAGGCUGUCGGUGCACUGGAAUCCAGUGCUGCAUCUUGCUCCUCCCUGCAAAUAUGUUUCUCUCCUUAGAUUUUAGGCCUGCUGGCUGCUCUGUAACCUCAGCACUCUGAAGUCAAGAAAGGUCUUGAACUUGCCUUUCAUCUAGAUUUUUCUGUUGUUAAGUCUGGGGUGAUGCUGUUUCUGGCUCUCUACAUCCCUGAGCAGAAACUGGAAGCAAUCUCACUCUGAACCUGUUCAACUUAAGGGUCCUCUUCUCUCACUCAGACAUUCCAUCACCCUAGACAUGGACACUUACUUUUCCCAGAUUUCCUCAAUGAUGUCUCUUGUAGUUGGCCUCUGUACAUGUAGCUGAAGGGGCUUUACAUAUCCCUGUUAUUCCUUGCCCUCCCAUAUUAACUCAUACUAACUUUUAAAAUCUCUCUUUAAAGCAUUAUUUGCUCUUAGGUUGUAAGAAAGAUAAAUAUAAAUUUUAAACUUAAGUUCCUAUAACACAUGUAAACAAUGAUCAUGCUUAACUAAGCAUUUUCCUUUUCAUUGGUAUACAUCUCUAGUCAAUUUCUAACAUUUAAAUUAUAACAUUUUUAAGUUGCAUCCUCAUGUCUCUCAAGCAAAGAGUAUAAAGGUUUCUGUAGCUCUUUAAACUUGUAGGUCUCCAAAUGUUAAUAAAAUCAAGAUCUCCCAGAAACAUUGGUUCUCCAAAGCUGUGCCAAAUGGCAAGAGAUCUUCCUUCUUCUCCAAAGUCACAUCCUGUGUGUGCUAUUAGAGCCAAAUGUAAGAAUCUAUCUAAGGAGUGGGAACAUUUCAGUUUCUAAAGUAGCUGCAUAAGCACACGGAGUUACCUGCAGCUUCAAUUUUUUUUUUUUUUUUUUUUUUUUUGAGACGGAGUCUUGCUCUGUUGCCCAGGCUGGAGUGCAGUGGCGCGAUCUCGGCUCACUGCAAGCUCCACCUCCCGGAUUCACGCCAUUCUCCUGCCUCAGCCUCCCAGGUAGCUGGGACUAGAGGCGCCCACCACCACGCCCGGCUAAUUUUUGUAUUUUUAGUAGAGACGGGGUUUCACCAUGUUAGCCAGGAUGGUCUCGAUCUCCUGACCUCGUGAUCUGCCCACCUCGGGCUCCCAAAGUGCUGGGAUUACAGGCAUGAGCCACUGCACCCGGCCACCUGCAGCUUCAAUUUUAUAAAAAGUGAAUGAUGGAAUAUUGCCAUCUACUUAAAGAUAUAGCCUUCAAAAAAAAAUAGUACCGAUGGCAUUACAAGAUCCAUGGUCGAUGAUAAGAAACUGAAUAAUGCAGCAAGUGAGAAGGGAAGCUAUACUGAGAUGAGGACAGAGGUCAGUGUGUGAAACUGUGAUACUACCAUGAGAUCCUAGGCCCAGGCAGCUGUGAGCAGGACUAGCAGGACCAGACAAUGAGAAAAACAUUUAGACACUUUAGCUUUAAAAACCUCCUAAAAGAAUUCUCUCUGCUAGGACAUGGAAUAAUAAUCUAUAUAGUAAAAAUUGUAUUUAAGAUAAAUUCUUUUGCAGAGGAGAAAUGUAGGGGUUUCAAGGGACAAUAAAAAAAGCAGCUGUGAUUCCUAUCUUGUGCCCUUACAUGUAACAGCAGAAGAAACCAAUGGAAUGCUCAACUUCCUAUCGAGGUGAAAAGAAAAAAAAUGAAAGAACAGGACUUGCUCUGUCUGGGGAGUCCAAUGGGCUCUACUAUGGUUUGAAUGUGUGUGUCCCCCAUGACUCCUAUGUUGCAACUUAAAACUCAAUGUGACAGUGAACAGCCACGGCCUUUAGGAAGUGACAAAGUCAUGAGGACUCUGUUCUCAUGAAUGGGAUUUGCAACCUUUCAAAAGGGCUAGAAGGAACUAGCUAAGUCUCUUUCUGCCUUUCUGUCCCUUGUGCCAUGUGAGGACACAGCGUUUGUCCCCUUCAAGGAAGUGAUGUUCUCUGAGAAGCACAGACCUGGCCCUCGCUAGACACUGAACCUGCCGGUGCCCUGAUCUUGGACUUCCUCGCCUCCAAAACUGUAAGAAAUAGGUUUCUGUUCUUUAUCCAUUAUCUAGUCACAGGUAUUUUGUUACAGCAGUACAAACUAAGAAAGUUCCCAGUGAUGUCACCUCUGGGAGCAGCAGUUUGACUUUCUGUGGUGUAAAUCAUGUCAAGUCCUGAAGCAUAUAGCUGUUAUCAUUAUUGACCUCAAAAAUUUCACCCCACUGUGUAAAACGUCUACAUUUGACAAUGAUAGAGGUUAAUAACAUUUAGUGACCAAGAUCCAUCACAACUUCCAAGUUAUAUUAACAUUCAGGAAGAAAAAUGAAGGGAAAGUUAGCUAAAUUUAAAUGUCAAUCUAAUUUGAUUUCUAUAUUAUUGAACAUCCCCUAUGCCAUACAAUGCAACUAGGUUAACUUUUCAAUAUGAUGCCAGUUUUACUACUGAUCCAGCUCUUUUUGAGUGCUCCUUACCUUGUAUUUGAGAAAAGUAAAUACAUGUCAAGAAAAGAGCCAAAGUUUUUCACUGAAUUUAGGUCACAAAGAUUUUCUGUUUGAAAUGACAGAAAGGGAUUUUCAUUUUAAUAUACUUUAUUAUUUAAAAUGCAUUCUAAAAUCCACUCUUUUUGUUUAAAGAGAUGCCCAUGUAGGGAGGGAAAUCUAUAAUUCGUUGGUAUUUACAGAGAAGUUAAUUCUUCAGUAAAAGUGAACUGCAACUGUUACAAAUACAUUCUAAUACCAUUUCCUUUCAGAACAGUAUUUGUUGCUGCCAUUAUUAUUACUACUAUUGCUAUUACUAUUGCUAUCUAGGCAAAUCAAGAAAUAUGAAAAGCAGCAACACAGGGUCAUGACUUUAUGCUCACGAAUCACAUACAUGACGUCUAUGCAGAGAGUGACAGCCCAUGGAAGGAGAUCCUUGGGGCUGCCGGCUGACUCACCACCACCAUUCGCUGACUCACCACCACCAUUCGGUUCUGUGCGUGUCCCCGUCACUGGCUUGAAUGAUGAUUUGGUCAUUGACUCAAUGUAGAGCUGCUGACCCAGAUUUUUAAUUUUGUUCACACUGGCAUAGACCUGCUGCAAGGUCAUCUUAGGGAAAGGAAUGAUAAAAUAUGUUUCAAAAAUUAUAAAAAUGUCCACUAAAAGAUACAUAAACAAAAUACACUUAGCUUCUGUUUCUUUGAAGAUAUAAUGACUGAAGCACAGUAAUCACUUUAAUCCAGUUUCCUGCACCAUGCCACAGUAUACUGGUACCAACAAAUUCUAAAUAAAUCUGUUCACAAUAUGCUAAUUUUUAGAACGCAUACAAUUAAUUCAAAUAUCACUUUCCAAAGGUGAUAUUUUCUUUUUACAGACUUUUUUUUCCAAACCAAAAUGGAUGAAAAUAUCUGUUAUCAGUUGAGGUCUUCAAGUCAGGAAUAUAUACUAAGAUGUCACCACAUUCAGAACCGAGGUAGUACAGAAAACACGAUGCCUGUAUAAGAAUGUGACAUAAGCCCAUGCACCUGCUCCGCCUUCGUCUCCUCCACACGGUGCCCACUGGCCUCACUGGAGGAGGCGAUGCUGACAAGCUGCUCCUGCGACCCGCUGCUCCCCAGGCUCCCGUAGCCGCUGGACACGCUCACGUGAACUGGCUGGAAGGACAAAGAGGAACAAGUCCAGAAUUGCUGGCUGUUCAAAUGCAGCCACCGCAGAGCUCAUCUAGAAUCAUGUAAAAAUUAAGAUGACAAUUCCUGAAAUACUAAAUUAGGUGUGUGCAGGUUGGUACUUUUAAUGCUGAUGCUGACACGAAAGGCACUCCUCUGUCAUUUCGGCAAUUUUCAAGAGCAAGGUCUUAUGUUCUAGUCUAGGUAGGUAUUUCCAGGACAACAUAUUGUUAAAAAGCCAUAGUAUAAUUAAUUUUUUAAAACAGGAAAAUAAACUCUAGUUCUUUAUGCCCAGUUUAGAAUACAGAGAACAAACUAACUAUAUAUUAUACUUUUUCCAAGAACGUGGCAGGUAUUUCAUGCACCCUAGAGAUUUUAUGGGAGACAUUCUGAAAACCACCGAGGACAGUUACUCUACACGACACCAUUAGUUCUAUUUACCACUUAUUCAUUGAAUCUCUUGUAGAAAACACCUUUAGUUAUUUCAACACAUACAUUUUCCCACUUUUACCUUACAAUAGUUAAGAGAAACUGAGACCUACCAUCCCUCUCCUCCCAUCUUUAAAACUGAAAUUAUUUUAAAAAUCCUGAAGCCAAAACCCAAAGGCUGAGCACGCUGGUGCCUUUGGAAUGUAAUAAUUCUCUCAGUCACGUGGUUUGCUGUCUUACAAUGGGUUCUUACAAAAAUAUUCUGUGUAACACAGAAUAAGGAACAAAGAAUAAAAUUUAAUUUAAAAACGAAAAGAGAAAGACAAAAAUUUCUGGAAUGUAGAGGGCAAAGAUUUGUCUCCCUUUACAGUUUAUUUUUGUGAAGUGAAUUUACUGAGCAUUAAAACAAAACACAAUUCAGGGAACUUUGCAUUUUUAACAAUCUCACCUUACCUGUAAGAGAAGUUUGUAAAUUUGUUCUUGUAAUUCUGUUAUGUCUUUGUCAUUAUCGUUCAUCUUUUUAAUUUUGGUAGCAAAAACAUCCUCAUUUAGUGGGCUCCUAGAAAAUGCCCAGUGAGAGACUGAGUCAAACAAUUUAAAUGAAGUCGAAAGUGAUUUUUAAUAGACUAUUCCAAGAAUAGAUCUAUGCUUUUACAAAACAAUUCUUUGACUCCAAAGAAAAAAUAUGAGGCUAGAAUUCUAUUCAUGAAGGUACAGAAAAUAAUAAGAAACAAAUGAGACAUUAACAGGCCCCUUAAGUUUCUCUAAAGCACUCAUCUUUCUGUAAUGGUUUCAGUGCUAUAUAUGUACAAAUCUGAAAUCAGGGACAAGUAACCUCCUUAGCUACUAAAAUAUCUUCAGCAAAUAACUGGUUUCAAAAUUUGACAGUAACUGAGUAACUGUAACUUACUCUAAGAAUUUUAAAGACCCCAAGUUUUCCAAACAACAUUUAAUGUUUAUUGCACCUAACACUUAAGCUAUCUAAUUAAGACAGUUCUGCAACCCACCCUAGUGGUGAAAAUGUAGCUAUUACAAUACCUUCGGUCUUAUUUAUACUCAAAUUUUAGAGCAUCUUCAAUCUAUGACCUGAAUACAGUGAAUGGCACACAUGCCAACAGAGAGGAUUACAAAGAAGGGAAGGAACUGAUGUUUACUUGGGACCUUCUAUGUGACAGGCACUGUACUAUACUAGUUUUUUUUUUUUUUUUUUUUUUUUUUUGAGACAGAGUCUUGCUCUGUCACCCAGGCUGGAGUGCAGUAGCAUAAUCUUGGUUCACUGCAAUCUUUGCCACCCAGGUUCAGGCGAUCCUCCUGCCUCAGCCUCCCGAGUAGCUGGGAUUACAGGUGCACGCCACCACGCCUGGCUAAUUUUUGUAUUUUUAGUAGAGACGGGGUUUCGCCAUGUUGGCCAGGCUGGUCUUGAACUCCUGACCUCAAAUGAUCCACCCGCUUCGGCCUCCCAAAGUGCUGGCAUUACAGGAGUGUGCCACUGCACCCAGCCUGUACUAGUUUUUAUAACAUAGAAGAAUACCUGACAUUUUGAAAAUCCUUAUUAUUCCAAGUGCUUUACACGUAUUUUCUCCUUCACCUGAUUAAAUACCUUUUCCAGGUGGCCUGGCAGGUAAGGGGGAAGCAGGUGUUCACGAAGGGACCAGAGUCUGGGCUCCAGAGUCCACCCUGUGUGCCACCACACUGUACUGCCUGUGGGUACCUUGGUAAAGCAAGUCCCAUUCGUGAGGCAUACUGAAUCAGCUGCAUCAGCUCACGGAGUUCUCACAACAACCCAGAAAGUAGGAAUUAUCCCCGAUACACAAAGUCAGGGGAUGAGGUACUCUGAGGAACUGGCCCAAGUUCACAUAACCGAGAAGCAGCAGUUAGGAUUUGAAUCCGCCUACGUCUGACCCCCAAGCCUGGGCUGUCCUUUUUCCAUUAUGCCAGCCUGCCGUUUCUCAACUGAUACAUGCAGCUCAGUUACCUAAAAACUGAAACAGUUUCCCAAAGGCAGAAAUUAUCAAGACAAUCAUAGGAUGCUGACAGUAUCGUAAAAGCAGUCAGGAAUAUCUCCACGUCUAGGGACUAUUCACUCACCCUGCACAUUUCCAUCACAGUGGAACAGCUGCACCAAUCGCCUUUCUCUACUUUAGCAUCUAGACUGUAUCUAGAUCAAUAUCUAUCUGCAUGGCGUCAGGUACACCAUAUGUCUGUGGCAAGCAGUACCUGAAUAUAUAACCUUAUUUCACAACUUGACACACUAUACGUUUUAUGUAACUGUCUCUCCCUAUAUCCCACUGCCAGGUAAGUGCCACGGGGUGAGGUAUUUUGUCUACUUUGUUCACUCCUGGAUCUUCAGUACCUAGAACAGUGUCUGGUCCAUAGCAGGCACCCACUACAUAUUUGCUAAAGGAACAAAUACAUGGUUGAUUGAUCUGGGAAUAAAAGUACACCUGGUUCCUAAUAUAAACACAUUGUGAGCUUGAAAACCUUUCAGAGGUAUUUGGAAUUUGUUUUUUGAGUGAAAUGGAAAUAGAACAGAUUGCUUUAUGAGAUUUACAUAUUCCUAGUUGUGAAAAUUUCUACAAAACUAAAUUGUGUAUGUAUGUGUGUGUGUGUAUGUAAUAUAUAUAUAUAUAUAUAUAUAUUUUUUUUUUUUUUUUUUAAGAGACAGGGUCUUGCUCUGCUGCCCAGCCUGGAGUGCAGUGGUGCAAUUCUGGCUCACUACUGCCUUGAACACCUGGACUCAAGCAACCCUCUUGCCUCAGCCUCCUAAGUAGCUGGGACUACAGGCACGUACCACCAUGCCCAACUAAUUUUUGUUUUUAAAUUUUUUGUAGAGAAGGGGUCUCACUAUCUUGCCCAGGCCAGUCUUGAACUCCUGGCCUCAAGUGAUCCUCCUGCCUCAGCCUCCCAAAGUGCUGGGAUUAUAAGCGUAAGACACUAAAAUGUAUUUUAAGUCAGUAACUAUGUAAUGCAGAACUGAUUAAUCUGCAGGCAAUAAGGAGACAGCCUUCAUGAAACAGCAACAAAAAUGCCAUGAAGUAUUUAUUGCUUUGCUGUGUAUGUGAAGUGAAGUAGGAGUAAGAGAGAAAACUUGGCUGCAGUCUCCACUUUCACUCCUCCCGAAGUGAUCCCUGGGAAGGCUACUCUAGUUUACUGAGUAUGGAUUUUACCUGUAAAAUGAGAGCUGAGGACACCUGACCUGCUUGCCUGCAGUGCUGCUGGGAAGGACUGAGAGAGAUACAGGCAGGGUCCCUUGCUAAACAGUCUUGCAGCCCCCUUCCCAUUUCAACUGUCACACUUACCAAACUCUAGUUAUAUAUGACAGUGCCAUUUUUAUUUACUGUCUCUCCCAUUACAGUGUGGGUUUCCUGAUGGUAAAGAGAAUGUUUUGAUUACCAUUACAUUCUCAAGGCCCAGCACACUGUCUUACACAGAGCUUUAUACUUUAUAAAUAUAAUGAAUAAUUAAUAUUUUAUGAGCAAGAUUAAUACCUACUAGACCUUAAAUCCUUUCCCUCACAUAAUCUUUGUUGUUAAGAUGUAAAUACCAGUGUAAUUUUUUAAAAUACUGAAAACAUUCUGAAUAUUCAUUAUAUGUUGCAUAAUUUCACAUAUAUUUCAUCAAAGAACUGAAAAGAGAGCUUCAGAAAUCCAGGCCGUAUCUUUAACCCUGACUGGGGCUGGGGAACACAGACCAUCAACGAGCCCCAGAUGGAAGCCUCAUGAAGGCAUCUUACUGGCUGCAGUUUCCUACGUUCAUGCCAAGCAACCAUCGGAUUUCAUGUUCAUUUCCCAAUAGGUUUCCGUACUUGGGGGGUAUGGGGUGGGGAGAAGGGACAAAGUCCUUUCUGAGCAAUACCAAUGGUAAUUACUUGGCAGCUGUAUUUCUUAAUAAUCAAAUUCGUUUUCUAGCACAAAUCAGUCUCAUGAGUUAGGGCGGCCAGGAGCCCAUUUCUUCCAUUAAGUUCUACACGUGCUCUGCGGAGGGGCCAAACCCUGGAGUAGAAAGAGGUAAGAGCAACCUUGAGACCUCUUCUCACCAUGGCUCGGCAUCAUCUCUACUGUAAUAUUAACAGGUGAUCAAAUACGUCUUACUGGUAGAUCUACUGUUCUCAGGUUCAUGUUCAUGUAGACAAUGCUGUAUAACAAGAUACCAAAAAACAUAACUUCUCGAUCUCAGCAUGAUACUGGAGUCAAGUAAAAUUUCCAUGCUUAAAAAAGAUAGACAUCAGAGGGAAACCUAGAGCCAGGUCAAAAGGCCUAGAGUUCAAUUAAAAAUGGACCACAGGGUUGGGCGUGAUGGCUCACACCUGUAAGCCCAGCACUUUGGGAGGCCAAGGUGGGUGGAUCAUUUGAGGUCAGGAGUUCGAGACCAGCCUGGCCAACAUGGUGAAACCUGUCUCUAUUAAAAAUACAAAAAUGAGCUGGGUGUGGUGGCGUGCACCUGUAAUCCCAGCUACUGGAGAGGCUGAGGCAGGAGAAACGUUUGAACCCAGGAGGCGGAAGUUGCAGUGAGCCGCGAUCAGGCCACUGUACUCCAGCCUGGGUGACAGACUGAGAUCCUGUCUCAAAAAAAAAAAAAGGACUAAAGAUUCAAGGGCCUAGGGGUAGGGGUACUGUAGCCUACAAGAAGUUGUGGGCCGGGCUGGUCUCGUUCCAUUCCACAUGAUGCUGUUACGUGGAUGGGCAACAGCAAGCAAACAAGCUGGUGUCAGCUGUGCUGGCAGGAAAAGAAGUAUUAAAAAAUGGACACAGUCCGGGCGCAGUGGCUCGUACCUUCAAAAUUCCAGCACUCUGGGAGGCUGAGGCAGGAGGAUGCUUGAGUACAGGAGUUUGAGACCAGCCUGGGCAACAUGGCAAAACCCCAUCUCUACAAAAAAUACAAGAAAGGGCUGAAUGUGUUGGCAGGCACCUGUGGGCCCAGCUACUUGGGAGGCUGAAGUGGGAGGAUCACCUGAGCCAGGGGAGGUUAAGGCUGCACUGAGCUGUGAUCGCAUCACUGCACUCCAGCCUGGGCAACAGAGGGAGAACCUGUCUCAAAGAAAAAAAAAAAAAAAGACACAAACAAGUGGAAUUUGAUGGCGGAAGGCUGAUAUAAAAAGUUUUACAUGCUCACUAAAGAGAUCUUUAAAAAAAAAAAAAAAGAAAGAAAGAAACACUUGUAGGUCCUAGUACCUACACUUAACCAAAAUUCAUAUUUUAUUUCCUUUCAAUUCUCUUUUCCUUAUUUCAUAGUAUGUUCGUUUUAAACAUAAUUAUAAUCAUAGGUAUAAAUAAUUUUGUAUGCUGAUUUUUAUAUUUAAAAAUCAAAUAUUUUUCCAUGUUAUGUGAUCUCUGCAAAAAUUUUCAUUGACCAAUAUAAUAAUACAUCAAGCAAAUAUUCCAGAGUUUACUUAAUGAUGGAUAUUUAAGCUACUUUAAGGCUGAUAUUAUGACUUCUUUUAAGGCUCACGGUACACACUGUCAAACUGUCUCCCCAAAGCACCGAAAACAAAUCUGUGCUUUAUUUAGUUUAUGUGUCAAUUGAGUCAGAGGGCAGUCAAUAAGCUAAGGAAUAUUAUUUGAUACAAGAGAUGUUUUAGAAAAUAUGAAAACUGACUGGCUUACGUUCGAACUUUAUGCCGACCAAUGAUGAAAGAAAUCUUCCGGCUCCAGGGAUUCACAAAGCUGGACCAACUGGAAUCCAGUAUGAUGUAGUCUCCGUUUUGAGUACAAAAUCGAAUGGGAGAAUGUUCAAAGGGAGGAUGCCCUGCAUACUUCAAAACUAUAUAAAAUAAUAAGACAAAAAUAGGAUUUACUUAACACAGAUACUGAUUACAAAUGUCCUUUUUAAGCCAUUUAUUUGUAAAUGUUUUAGUGGUUUUUUUUGAGAUUGAGUCUCGCUCUGUUGCCUAGGCUGGAGUGCAGUGGCAUGAUAUUGGCUCACUGCAACUUCCGCCUCCCAGGUUCAAGCAGUUCUUGUGCCUCAGCCUCCUGAGUAGCUGAGAUUACAGGCGUGCACCACCAUGCCUGGCUAAUUUUUGUACUUUUAGUAUAGAUGGGUUACACCAUGUUGGCCAGGCUGGUCUCCAACUCCUGACCUCAGGCAAUUCGCCCACCUCGGCCUCCCAAAGUGCUGGGAUUACAGGUGUGACCCACUGUGCCUGGCCUGUUUUAGUAUGUUUAAAUAGAAAACAAUUGCUUUAGCAGCUUCAAUGUAAUGCCUCUCUGGUUAAAGGUUGCGCUCUAAUGAGAUGAAAAGAAAAAUUAGAACAAAUCAAUGAGAGAAAAAUAUUUCCUCCUAUAAAGGAGUAGGUCCUGACCUUUUUGGUGUAUGGCAACCAUCAGAGAACGAUCUUCAGGGUGCAGGUAGCUUAGGAUCGAUGUUCCAAUCAGGUCCUGAGGUAGGUAACCCAGCAAAGGCACUGCUCUGGGAUACAGAUACACAACACAGGUGGCAUACUCAUCAGGUAAUUCUUAUACACUUUUAAAAAUACUUCUGUAUUUCAUUCUAAAUGUGAGACAAUUUUAUGCAAAGCUGUUUAUCUUAGCAUUUAUAAAAACAGCAAAGAACCCAAGUGCCCAUCCUGGGGGAAAUGGCUGUAUAAUCUAACACAUGUUGGUCAUCUGACACAUUACAUCAAAAUCAUCUAGCGAACUUGCUAAAAUACAGAUCCACAGUCUCGCUGUAUGCUUACUAAAUCAGAAGCUCUGGAAAUAAGACCAGGCAUCUGUCUUUUAGCAAGUUCCUUAGAGGACUCUGAUGCCCUCCAUAAUUAUGUUUAUGUUGCCAUUUAAAAAGUCUACAAAAAGCACAUCGUAACGUAGAAAGAUGCUGAUGAUGUUAAAUGAAUAAUGCAGGUUGCUAAUUCAUACAGCAUAAUUAAAAUUACAUAAAAACAAUGUCACCUAGGCCAGGCACGGUGGCUCACGCCUGUAAUCCCAGCACUUUGGGAGGCUGAGGCGGGCAGACUGCCUGAGGUCAGGAGUUCGAGACCAGUCUGGCCAACAUGGUGAAACCCCAUCUCUACUGAAAAUAUAAAAAAAUUAGCCGGGUGUGGUGGUGUGUGCCUGUAAUCUCAGUUAUUUGGGAGGCUGAGGCAGGUGAAUUGCUUGAACCAGGGAGGUGGAGGUUGCAGUGAGCCAAGACCGCACCACUGCACUCCAGCCCGGGCAACAGUGUGAGACUCCAUCUCAAAAACAAAACAAAAAAAACACAAUGUCACCCAAAAGGUAAUAUCAGAUAGACAGACAGCUAGUACACAGAAAUAGUUUCAGGAUAAAGGUUCAUGGGAAACUUACGAUGGUAAGACUAAGGAUGCUUCAGAAAAAACUGGAUUCCGUAAAUAUUUUCCCUGUGUAAAAACCCACAAAUAUUUUCUAAUACAAGAGAUUUAAGCUAUUUUUAGAAUUAUAUUUAGCUGAAUUUUCUUACUUUAUACAGGUUAAGUAUCUCACACAUUACUAUUUGGUUUCAGGGUAGACAUUAUCAAAUACACUGAUUUUCAGAUGUUAAAUUUUUUUAAUAAAAAAUUAUCAAGAAAAUGUUUCUGACAUUUUUGCUUUUCAGUUAUGUGUGGUGUGGUGUGUUGGUUCCCAGAUUUUUGAAUUUCAUGAGUAAGUAAAAUGUUAAAAUAAAUGUGGGGAAAAAAUGCGGGAUACUGAUGUAGUGAUACUGAUAUUUACUUUUUCCAAAUAAAGAUACUAAAAAACAGCAUUAAGCAAUAACUACUACCUACUAUCACUAUCCUUUAAAUAACAAAGACUAUUUCAACAUCCCCCAAAAGUAGGAAGGACAGAAGUUCAAAAUAAAGAACAAUUCUUUACAAAAAAUAAUCUGUUCUCCCCACCUUCGCCCCCACUUCAGACUAACUGAAAUUUCAUCAUAAACUGAUUUGAGAAGCACUUGGCAAGUGUAAAUAACACCAGAAUAAGUGCUAGAAGACCAGAGUCUUGGUCCCAGUUUGAGCGCAAUCAGAUACUAUACAUCUGUUCUCAGCAAACUGGCCGGUGGGUUCAUUGUCUUCUCUGUAAAAUGAAAUAAUUCUUGGCCUACCUAAAGCAUACUGUUUAGAAAUCAAAUACAACUUGUAAUCACUUUAUAAUAUGCAAAAUAUUUAUAUUAAAAAUUUAGACAACAUACAUUUCCAUGUAACAAAAAUCAAAUAGGCAAAUGGACAGAUUUCAAUUACAUAAUGUAUAAACAUGCAAACAUAAUGUAAUCUUCUUCACAUUUAUAUUUAUUUUCAGAAACAAAUUUCUUUUAGGCUUAAAGAAGUACUUACUUUUCAUCUACUUCAAGAAAAACACACCCUGGGGUGUGUGUGGUGGUGAAGAUUCUUUUAUUCACUGGGAUCCGAGGAGCUAAGGAAAAAAAAACAAAGACCCAUUUAAAGGCAAAUAUCUAAUUAAUUAUCCACCUAACUAACCACUUAACAUAUUAAAAAGAGAACAAAAUCUAUAUGAAAUGGUAGAAAUCUCAUUUAGGGGCCUGGCCUUCAAGCAGCCAAAGCUACAGUUAAAUGAUAGUAAUUUCAUUACUAACUACAUUUUAAUUAGGUAAAAAUUUGAAGCCUAUUAAAGUCAAUUUUAAACAGAGAGAGAAAGAAUGUGCAC
rnacentral:lncRNA from 1 species